CUCUAUCUCCGUAAAGGACUUAGGGCAAAGGAG
rnacentral:ncRNA from 1 species